AAAAAAAAAAAAAAAAAAAAGCCUGUAAGCACUGCCAUACAAGUAUUAAACAGAGAAAACUACGAAUAGAGAAGGCAAAUCACUAUAUAUUAGUAAUGAAUCGAAAGCUACAAAGUUUCCCGGAUAUACCCAGCAAUCUCCAGUGCUUCACGAUGCCAAAAUCUCUCUUAUUUCUGCCAGCUUCGAAAAAUCAACUUCACAGAAAUAACUUCUUAAAGCAAUAAGAUGACACCGUUGCCUAAGCGCACUGGUAAGCUCGCUAGUGCCAGAAUAAAGAAUUCGGCAACCAAGAAGGGGCAAAGCCUAAGCUUCAAACAAAACUAGAAACUAAAGCCUUCCAAGUAAUAUACACAUCCAAGAGGUUGGUUUAAAUAUAGAUUUGCCUACGUUAGAACACAGAGUCUAAAUAACAGUUGUAAUGCGUCCUGUUGAAUUCUAAUAAGCUACCAUAAGUGCGGUCAGCAACCCCUACAAAGAGAGCUUCUGCAUCAGGGCUGAAGGAUAUACCAGCAAUCUCCCCAAAAAUGUCAAUCUCCUGGCACUUGACAUACCCAGAUUCUGCAUCAAAGACAUGAACAAAGUCUGCAGGCUCUGCCAUUGCCAAAAACCGGCCAUCUGAAGUGAACCUUAGUGCUCUUAUUGCACCCAUAUUUCCUUUCAACAUAGCCAAGGACUUGGAUAGAUUCCUUAUAUCCCAUAGCCUGCAUGUUGUAUCUUGAUUUCCAGUGGCUAAAAUUCGUCCAUCAGGGUGCCAAACUGAUGCAAAAGAAUAGUCCAAAUGACCUUUCAGGUUCCCAGUUAUCUUCCCAGAACUGGCAUCAAUGAUCAAGCACUCUGUACUGUCCCCGAGGACUGCAAACAAUUUACCAUCUGGGCUAACAGAGGUGUUCUGAGAAUGACAAUUCAACCAACAAUGUAAGCAUCAGAUACAAGACAAAAAGCAGUCCAGAAUCAAUUUGCAAGAACUCUCUCAUGGAGGGCACUCACAUUUACAGACCAAUCAAAGGAGAAACAAUUUACACAAGCAAAACUUUCAGCAUCAUAAACUCUAACAGCGGCAUCGUUGUUUGCGGUCAUAAUCCUCAGUAAGCCACUGUGGAAAUAAAAGGUUCAGUUGUCUGUCUUGGAGGAAAGAUGAAUAAUUUCACAAUUUGUAUCCGGAUGACUUCCUUACUUGUGGUUAUGGUAUAUAUUCACUGCAUUGGUAAUGGCAUUUUCAUCUGUUGUUACUUUGGUACAGAACGCAACUCCAGGUUGAUUCAAAUACUGGCCCCCAAAAACAAUAUAUAUAUAUAUUAGUAAAAAAAGAAAAAAAGAAAAGGAAAAAACAAAAUGUGUCAUGUUAAAUAGUAAUCAUGGCAGGCAUAUAACUAGCCAUUUGCAUACUCUGCAAAUAAGUUCCCCUUGAAAACCACCAGCAACGAGCAAGUUUUCUUUAACAGCCAUAGUGCUUAUUUGCACUCUUGAGAGUGACUGAGACAACAACCCUGGGCGUUUCAUGGUAGGAACAAUUGGAGUAGCCACAUUGAGUACUUCUUUGCCUCUACGCAAUAAUGAUGACCAGUGCAUUACUGAGUAAUUUUGCAUAAGGUAUACAUCAUGCUUUGAUGUUGCCCAUAUAAGAUUCCUCAACUGCAAAGUGCAAGACAUACCAAAUGGAAAAGAACAUCUAUAACCAAACAAGAAAUAUUAUAUUGAGAAAACAGGCCUUAUCAAUCUGUAAUGAUCUCAACACAUAUAAAAGCACCAAGCUAUAAAAUGAAGAGAAAGAUUCCCUAGAGAUUAAGAGAUGCAAUUGAGACCAAACCUUUCAACAAGGAAGUUGGAAACAAAAACUACAACUAAAGACCUUUAGAAAAGGUUAAGGCUAAGAUGUAUCCAAUACCGAUUACUAGCAUAUUCCUAUAAUAAUACCAAAGAAAAAAAAAGGCAGCAAAAAUAACAGCAUUCUUGCUUUUAGAUUAUGAUUUGUAUAGGCAUAACAAGGUACUAAACAUAAAAAAACUGAGGAAUUACAGGCAUUAAAAGAAAGAUCACCACAUAAAUGAUAUUAGCUAAUAAAUCAAGUGAACAAAAAAAAAUUCACAAAAUUAAACAUGAGAAAGACACACAAGCUACAGCAAAGCUCUAGAUGCAUAUGAUGGAAACAAUAUAAGUGAAGCAAUUAGAAAUACAUAUUUCGUGUUAAUAAGACCCCUUGAGAUGGAACAUCUAUGCUACUUUACUACAGGAAUUGGGACAGAGUCCUCUUAAAUACUCGAAUAUUUUCCUAUCAUACCAUAUAAACAAUGUAUCCUUAAUUGCGCCAGCUGCUCAGACAUAACUUCCACCCUGCUUAAAAUGCUGAAAUGAAAAGUAAUAGCAAUCCCAAAUGCCACAGAUGGGUUAAAGCCAUAUGAUAUAUUCAACAAUCAAAAGGAAAGAACAUAGGCAAAUAGAUAUCACAAGCAUUUAAAAAAAAAGAAAAAGGUAUAGACCAAAGCUUCACGUUUCCAUGGCUUAUCCGGAAACUCAUCAGCAUGAGUAAUUCAAAAUGAAUCCAUGCAAGAGCAGUUAAACAUGGAUGAGGCAACAGAAUAUUAACUAGCUAGCUGGACAUCAUGAUUUUAAUAUUUUAUACUUUCUAGUCUCCACAACUUUUUAGACUGAUCCCUAGAAAUCAUCUUCGAAGAGUAAGUAUGCAUGCUGCACUCAACAAAUCUCUAUUAUAUAGCUUGUCUGCAGGUGUGUUUAUUAAUGUGUUAGUGCAUCUAUUGUGUUAAACAGUCUCGUAACAACAAACACUCUCAAAUACAUGGGUUACUUUAACAGGAUUACAAAAUCAGAAAUGCCAUGUCUUACCAUGGCUGUGAUGCAUCAUUAUCUAUAACUCGGGAUCAGAACAUGUUGUCCAGCGAAAAGCUAAACUACUUGCUACGUAUUUAGGAUUUUACCUUCUAAAAUGGAUGUUUCAAUUUUAUUAAAUUUUGAGAAACUGUUAACACUGCAUUAAAGUAAGCAUCCCUUAGAAAUCUGCACAAAAAGGAUUUAGUGAAUACAAACCCCAACUUGAUGCCAGUAAGUUGGGAACACCAAAAAAUUUCUAAGAGAAAAAGAACCAAGUUCCAUGUCCAAAAGCCAAAAGUCUGUAGAUAAUAAGUUGUUCAUGAUGAAUUAAGUCAAACUUCAAAAAACAUGCUUUUACAUCCAGAAAGAUUUAAGUCGCCAGCUUGCUGGCCUGAAGAGAUAUUGGCAUAAUUGCCCCAAUGGACCAUAACUUAAUCUGGAAAACUUAAGCCAGUUGUUCAUAAGUUGAAUGAAUUAUAAUUUUAACAUAUGAAAAGGGAGCAAUAUCAAGCGUUAUACCUCCAACCGGUUCAGGCACAAAGCUAUAAUCACAUAUUAUCCUUAUAUGGAAUGAUGACCAUAACAAAAUUACAAGACCUGCAAAACUAUAAGACUAAUGAUACGUGCAUAAUCCAAAUUCAAUUAAUAUGCGAGAUAAGAGUAACAUUCGACAUCAGGAGUUGGACUCCUAAAGAUGAGCAUUGGAUUGUAUUUUAAUGUUCAACACUGAUCCCGUGUCAGGCACUCUUAACUAAUUUUUGUUGACAACAGAUCAAUUAACAGGAAGUGAUUGAGCUUGUGCUACAAGAAUAUGAAUUUUUCAUACUAAGCAAUUCAAUAGCUUAUGCCUAGAUCUAUGAUAUAAGGGACUUGGGCAACGAGAUUAUGAAUUAUGAAAUGUUCUUAUGCAUCAAAAGUGUGGAAGAGAAGAAGAGACACAAGUACGGCCGAAAGAAGAAACAAAGAGAAGAGAAAACGAAACAAGACGAGAUAAACAGAAAGAAGUAUGCUGAUAAUAAAUUUUUAGAACCAAGAAAUUGAAAAUUGAAACAUUAAAACGAGACGCAUGCGACAUCUAACUGGAUGGGAAGUUUUUUAAAUGGAUAGAGCAUGGAAAAUCAAAAGAAAUGAGAGCAAAGAGCCAAAAGUCUCUACCUGAAAAUGCACAAUUGUGGAUUUGACAAGCCUUGUGUUGAACUGGAAGUCAUAAAAGGUCUUUCCCUUCUCUACUUGCAAGCACUCCUUGUCUAGCCCUUCGCGAGAGCGAGAGAGGUUCUCGUAGUUCUUAUACUGCUUUAAUCUAGCCUCACGAUACUUAUCCCUAGUGAAAUUAAGCCUUUCCCAGGGAAUUCCCUGUAUAUCUUUUCCAUUUCUAGCCUCCACAGCAGAGGUAUCUGUGUUUGAUUUACUCGACUCGAAAUCGUCUUCAAUGUCGGAGUCCACGGAAUCCAAAUCUGCAACUCUGUGAGGUUCGGGUUCAAGGAAAGGGUUAUCUUCGAAAUCAACGAAGUCGUAAUAAUCAUCGCCAAGGUAUUCGAGAUGAUCGCUGUGGAAGUAAUCCAUCACCCGUUAAAUUUGGUGGAUGAAGAGGUCUGAAAAUAUAAAAACAGAUGGAAAAAAGGAGAGCAAUUUCCCGAUGGUUUACCGAGAAAAAAACAGAAAAAAAAUUAUCUACGAUCAGAAAUUUUGGUUGGCUUCGGAAGGAAAGGGUUGAUUACGGUUACUGGUAGCGGGGAAGGAGAGAAUCAAUGUCAAAUUAGUAAAAGAGUGACAAAUCUGAGAAGCGUUUU
rnacentral:misc_RNA from 1 species